AUAAAUUUAAAAUAAAAUAAACAUUAUUGGAUCCGUGUUGAAUAAGUCACCAACGUAAGAUUGUAUUAUUAAUUUAUCAUUAAAAUGAUAUCAAACGUUGUAAAUUUAAACGUAUACUGUUUGAUAAGUAUAUAUAGUCUUAUUAAAAUAUUAUACCUGACUGCCUGUAUACUAUAACAUACGGAAUUGUCUGUUCUUUAUCAAUAACUUUUGUUAGCCUACUGCAGAGUCGUGUGUAGUGUAUGUGCAUAGGUACUGCAGUCACGUGUGUUAAAAUGGCAAAAUAUAUUGAAAGUAAUCGCUGUAAAAUUAUGCUAGUG